rnacentral:rRNA from 1 species
CUGCUUCUACUUUCUGUAUGGAGCUGGGAGCGUCUGCCUGUUGGACGCCCGAAGAGCGUCAGGUUUGAUCCUUGGUAUGCAGAUGAACAUGACGAAUUACGGCACCCCACGUGGGCUUACAAGUGGGAUAUCGUUUCCGAGAUGACGAACGAUGUCAAUCUCAUGUACCAAAAGUACAUUGCCGAGUUGGACACAAUUACGCCUGAGCAGGUAAGGAGGUCAUUACUUUAG